rnacentral:rRNA from 1 species
AAUACUUAGGAAUCUGCCCAUUAAUGGGGGACAACAGUUGGAAACGACUGCUAAUACCGCAUACGCCCUACGGGGGAAAGCAGGGGAUCUUCGGACCUUGCGUUAAUGGAUGAGCCUAAGUCGGAUUAGCUAGUUGGUGGGGUAAAGGCCUACCAAGGCGACGAUCUGUAGCGGGUCUGAGAGGAUGAUCCGCCACACUGGGACUGAGACACGGCCCAGACUCCUACGGGAGGCAGCAGUGGGGAAUAUUGGACAAUGGGGGGAACCCUGAUCCAGCCAUGCCGCGUGUGUGAAGAAGGCCUUUUGGUUGUAAAGCACUUUAAGCGAGGAGGAGGCUACUAGUAUUAAUACUACUGGAUAGUGGACGUUACUCGCAGAAUAAGCACCGGCUAACUCUGUGCCAGCAGCCGCGGUAAUACAGAGGGUGCGAGCGUUAAUCGGAUUUACUGGGCGUAAAGCGCGCGUAGGUGGUUCAGCAAGUUGGAUGUGAAAGCCCCGGGCUCAACCUGGGAACUGCAUCCAAAACUACUGGGCUAGAGUACGGUAGAGGGUGGUGGAAUUUCCUGUGUAGCGGUGAAAUGCGUAGAUAUAGGAAGG